GAUGAACGCUGGCGGCGUGCCUAAUACAUGCAAGUCGAGCGAACGGACGAGAAGCUUGCUUCUCUGAUGUUAGCGGCGGACGGGUGAGUAACACGUGUAUAACCUACCUAUAAGACUGGGAUAACUUCGGGAAACCGGAUCUAAUACCGUAUAAUAUUUUGAACCGCAUGGUUCAUAAGUGAAAGACGGUCUUUCUGUCACUUAUCGAUGGAUCCCCGCUGCAUUAGCUAGUUGGUAAGGUAACGGCUUACCAAGGCAACGAUGCAUAGCCGACGUGAGAGGGUGAUCGGCCACACUGGAACUGAGACACGGUCCAGACGCCUGCGGGAGGCAGCAGUAGGGAAUAGUCCGCAAUGGGCGAAAGCCUGACGGAGCAACGCCGCGUGAGUGAUGAAGGUCUUCGGAUCGUAAAACUCUGUUAUUGGGGAAGAACAUAUGUGUAAGUAACUGUGCACAUCUUGACGGUACCUAAUCAGAAAGCCACGGCUAACUACGUG
rnacentral:rRNA from 1 species